rnacentral:rRNA from 1 species
AACCUAGGAGACAAACGUUAUCCGGAGUUACUGGGCGUAAAGGGCGUGUAGGUGGUUUCGUAAGUCUGGCGUGAAAUUUUUCGGCUUAACCGGGAAAGGUCGUCGGAUACUGCGGAGCUAGAGGACGGUAGAGGCGUGUGGAAUUCCGGGUGUAGUGGUGAAAUGCGUAGAGAUCCGGAGGAACACCAGUGGCGAAGGCGACACGCUGGGCCGUACCUGACACUGAUGCGCGACAGCAUGGGGAGCAAACAGG